rnacentral:rRNA from 1 species
CCUACGGGAGGCAGCAGUGAGGAAUAUUGGUCAAUGGGCGCGAGCCUGAACCAGGCAAGUAGCGUGAAGGAUGACUGCCCUACGGGUUGUAAACUUCUUGUAUAAAGGAAUAAAGUGAGGCAAGUGUGCCUUUGUGUAUGGACUGUAGGAAUAAGGAACGGCUAACUCCGUGCCAGCAGCCGCGGUAAUACGGAGGAUCCGAGCGUUAUCCGGAUUUAUUGGGUUUAAAGGGAGCGUAGAUGGGUUGUUAAGUCAGUUGUUAAAGUUUGCGGCUCAACCGUAAAAUUGCAAUUGAUACUGGCAGUCUUGAGUACAGUUGAGGUAGGCGGAAUUCGUGGUGUAGCGGUGAAAUGCUUAGAUAUCACGAAGAACUCCGAUUGCGAAGGCAGCUUACUAAACUUCCCCUGACAUUGAUGCUCGAAAGUGUGGGUAUCAAACAGGAUUAGAUACCCUUGUAGUC